rnacentral:rRNA from 1 species
GACAGAGGGUGCAAACGUUGUUCGGAAUUACUGGGCGUAAAGCGCGUGUAGGCGGCUCGGCAAGUCGGGUGUGAAAGCCCUGGGCUUAACCUAGGAAGUGCACUCGAAACUGCAGCCUUGAGUUCUGGAGAGGAAGGCGGAAUUCUCGGUGUAGAGGUGAAAUUCGUAGAUAUCGAGAGGAACACCGGUGGCGAAGGCGGCCUUACUGGACAGCAACUGACGCUGAGACGCGAAAGCGUGGGGAGCGAACAGG